CAAUACGGAGCGGCAGACGGGUGAGUAACGCGUGGGAACGUGCCCUUCGGUUCGGAAUAACUCAGGGAAACUUGGGCUAAUACCGGAUACGUCCGAAAGGAGAAAGAUUUAUCGCCGAAGGAUCGGCCCGCGUAAGAUUAGCUAGUUGGUGAGGUAACGGCUCACCAAGGCUCUGAUCUUUAGCUGGUCUGAGAGGACGAUCAGCCACACUGGGACUGAGACACGGCCCAGACUCCUACGGGAGGCAGCAGUGGGGAAUAUUGGACAAUGGGCGCAAGCCUGAUCCAGCCAUGCCGCGUGAGUGAUGAAGGCCUUAGGG
rnacentral:rRNA from 1 species